GAUGAACGCUGGCGGCGUGCCUAAUACAUGCAAGUAGAACGCUGAAGCUUGGUGCUUGCACCGAGCGGAUGAGUUGCGAACGGGUGAGUAACGCGUAGGUAACCUGCCUCUUAGCGGGGGAUAACUAUUGGAAACGAUAGCUAAUACCGCAUAAAAGUCGACAUCGCAUGAUGUUGACUUGAAAGGUGCAACUGCAUCACUAAGAGAUGGACCUGCGUUGUAUUAGCUAGUUGGUGAGGUAACGGCUCACCAAGGCGACGAUACAUAGCCGACCUGAGAGGGUGAUCGGCCACACUGGGACUGAGACACGGCCCAGACUCCUACGGGAGGCAGCAGUAGGGAAUCUUCGGCAAUGGGGGCAACCCUGACCGAGCAACGCCGCGUGAGUGAAGAAGGUUUUCGGAUCGUAAAGCUCUGUUGUAAGAGAAGAACGAGUGUGAGAGUGGAAAGUUCACACUGUGACGGUACUUACCAGAAA
rnacentral:rRNA from 1 species